GGAAAGGAAGAAAGAAAGGAAGGAAGGAAGAAAGAAAGAAAGGAGGUUUGAGGAUCGCAGGAGGAAGAGAGAGUUUAAGGUUUUGUGUAUUACUCAUUAUUCCUCAGUUUUUUUUUUUUUUUU
rnacentral:ribozyme from 1 species